rnacentral:rRNA from 1 species
UACGUAGGUGGCUAGCGUUGUCCGGAUUUACUGGGCGUAAGGGGUCCGUAGGCGGUGUGGCAAGUCGGAAGUGAAAGCCCAGGGCUCAACCCUGGAAUUGCCUUUGAAACUGGUGAGCUUGAGUACGGGAGAGGUGAGUGGAAUUCCGAGUGUAGAGGUGAAAGUCGUAGAUAUUCGGAAGAACACCAGUGGCGAAGGCGGCUCACUGGCCCGUAUCUGACGCUCAGGCGCGACAGCGUGGGGAGCAAACAGG